rnacentral:rRNA from 1 species
GACGAACGCUGGCGGCGUGCUUAACACAUGCAAGUCGAGCGGUAAGGCCCUUUCGGGGGUACACGAGCGGCGAACGGGUGAGUAACACGUGGGUGACCUGCCCUUAGCUCUGGGAUAAGCCUGGGAAACUGGGUCUAAUACCGGAUAUGACUCCAUGACGCAUGUUGUGGGGUGGAAAGCCUUGUGCGGCUAGGGAUGGGCCCGCGGCCUAUCAGCUUGUUGGUGGGGUGAUGGCCACCAAGGCGACGACGAGUAGCCGGCCUGAGAGGGCGACCGGCCACACUGGGACUGAGACACGGCCCAGACUCCUACGGGAGGCAGCAGUGGGGAAUCUUGCGCAAUGGGCGAAAGCCUGACGCAGCGACGCCGCGUGGGGA